rfam:Trichomonas vaginalis G3, whole genome shotgun sequence.
UUGACCUCAUCAGAGGCACGCCAUUCGACUGAGUGACCUAUCAGCUUGUACUUAGGGUCUUUACCUAGGUAGGCUAUCACGGGUAACGGGCGGUUACCGUCGGACUGCCGGAGAAGGCGCCUGAGAGAUAGCGACUAUAUCCACGGGUAGCAGCAGGCGCGAAACUUUCCCACUCGAGACUUUCGGAGGAGGUAAUGACCAGUUCCAUUGGUGCCUUUUGGUACUGUGGAUAGGGGUACGGUUUUCCACCGUACCGAAACCUAGCAGAGGGCCAGUCUGGUGCCAGCAGCUGCGGUAAUUCCAGCUCUGCGAGUUUGCUCCCAUAUUGUUGCAGUUAAAACGCCCGUAGUCUGAAUUGGCCAGCAAUGGUCGUACGUAUUUUUACGUUCACUGUGAACAAAUCAGGACGCUUAGAGUAUGGCCACAUGAAUGACUCAGCGCAGUAUGAAGUCUUUGUUUUCUUCCGAAAACAAGCUCAAUGAGAGCCAUCGGGGGUAGAUCUAUCUCAUGACGAGUGGUGGAAUACUUUGACUCAUGAGAGAGAAGCUGAGGCGAAGGCGUCUACCUAGAGGGUUUCUGUCGAUCAAGGGCGAGAGUAGGAGUAUCCAACAGGAUUAGAGACCCUGGUAGUUCCUACCUUAAACGAUGCCGACAGGAGUUUGUCAUUUGUUAAUGGCAGAAUCUUUGGAGAAAUCAUAGUUCUUGGGCUCUGGGGGAACUACGACCGCAAGGCUGAAACUUGAAGGAAUUGACGGAAGGGCACACCAGGGGUGGAGCCUGUGGCUUAAUUUGAAUCAACACGGGGAAACUUACCAGGACCAGAUGUUUUUUAUGACUGACAGGCUUCGGGUCUUUCAGGAUAUUGUUUUUGGUGGUGCAUGGCCGUUGGUGGUGCGUGGGUUGACCUGUCUAGCGUUGAUUCAGCUAACGAGCGAGAUUAUCGCCAAUUAUUUACUUUGCCGAAGUCCUUCGGUUAAAGUUCUAAUUGGGACUCCCUGCGAUUUUAGCAGGUGGAAGAGGUAGCAAUAACAGGUCCGUGAUGCCCUUAGAUGCUCUGGGCUGCACGCGUGCUACAAUGUUAGGAUCAAUAGGACUGCCAGCCUGA